AGUGUAAUAAGGUCCCGGAGAAGUGUCACUGGCCCUGAGUGGGACCCGGUAGCCCGUUCGCUCCGCGCCGGCGGCCUGUCCCCGCGGCUUGGCGGGCUAGGGCAGGGGAAAUGUUGCAGGAGGAGUCGGACCUCUCUCUCAUUAUUGCCCAGAUAGUCCAAAAGCUCAAGGGCUCCAAUUUGUACUCUCAGCUGGAACGGCAGGCCUGGGCCAGUCUUCAGAGACCUGAGAUUAAACUUGAAUCACUGAAAGAAGAUAUUAAGGAAUUCUUUAAAAUAUCAGGUUGGGAGAAGAAACUUCAGAAUGCUGUUUAUAGUGAACUGAGUGUGUUUCCUUUACCUAGUCAUCCUGCUGCACCUCCUGAACAUCUUAAAGAACCUUUGGUAUACAUGAGGAAAGCACAGGGAAGUUGGGAAAAAAGAAUUUUGAAGAGUUUAAAUAGUAUGUGCACUGAACUGAGUAUCCCACUGGCACGAAAGAGGCCAGUUGGAGAACAGAAAGAACUUCUUAAUAAAUGGAAUGAAAUGGGAACUGAUGAACCAGAUUUAAGCCUUUUCAGACCUGUUUAUGCACCUAAGGAUUUUCUUGAGGUAUUAAUUAAUCUUCGCAACCCAAAUUAUGAAAACGGUGAUUCUCUUAGUUUCAGGACUCAUUUGGGUUUAAUUCAAGUUCCACUGAAAGUAAAAGACAUCCCUGAAUUGAAAGAAUGCUUUGUGGAACUUGGCUUAAAUAUAGGACAACUGGGUAUAGAUGAUUCUACACAAGUGCCUCCUGAACUUUUUGAAAAUGAACAUGUACGUAUUGGGCAAAAAGUUCUAGCAGAACAAGAUAGUGCUGCUGCUCAACAGUACAUCAGACAAGGAAGUCCCACGGCACUGAGAGCUGAAUUGUGGGCUCUCAUUUUGAAUAUUUCCAGCCAACCUGAGGAUGUCUUGUAUUAUGAGCAGCUUAAGACCAAUGUGAUACAACAUGACCUUUUGGUGGACAGUCUAAUCUAUAAAGAUGUGAAGUUGACAGCAAGCAAUGAUGAUUAUUAUUUUGUAUUUGAAGAUUAUUUAUAUCAGGUAUUACUUUGUUUUUCCCGGGAUACAUCUGUGUUGAGUCACUUUGCAUUCAACAGUGCCUCGCCACCAAAAUCAUACAUAAGAGGAAAACUAGGACUGGAAGAAUAUGCUGUCUUUUACCCACCAAAUGGUGUUAUCCCUUUUCAUGGAUUUUCAAUGUAUGUUGCACCACUUUGUUUUCUAUACCAUGAACCUUCCAAAUUGUAUCAGAUAUUCCGUGAGAUGUAUGUGCGUUUUUUCUUCAGACUCCAUUCCAUCUCUUCUCAUCCUUCUGGUAUUGUGUCACUCUGUCUGCUGUUUGAAACUCUUCUUCAAACUUAUCUUCCCCAACUCUUUUAUCAUCUACGAGAAAUUGGGGCUCAACCACUUCGCAUAUCAUUUAAGUGGAUGGUUCGAGCUUUCUCUGGAUACUUAGCUACAGAUCAGCUCUUGCUUUUAUGGGAUAGAAUCCUAGGAUACAACUCUCUGGAAAUUCUUGCUGUGCUGGCAGCUGCCGUGUUUGCUUUCCGAGCAGUGAACCUGAUGGAGGUGACAUCACUGGCUGCAGCUGAAAAUCUAGCUGCCCACAGUGAACAGUUCUGCACUGCUCCUCUAUUCCCUGAGCUUUACAGAGUCCAGAUCCCAUGUACUGCUGAACUCAGGCAGAAAGAAGAGUGCAGUUUAUUGGACUCCAAAUCUCAUUCAACAGAACAAAGAAGUUGAGGUUGCAAGGAAGAACCUAUAAUGAUGGGUCAUGGAAUAUAACCUAGAAAAGAAGAGAAAUAAAAGAGACUGUGUUUCACCAUGUUGCCCAGGCUGGUCUCGAACUUCUGAGCUCAAGCAAUCCACCCUCCUCAGCCUCCAGAAGUGCUGGGAUUACAGGCAUGAGACACCAAGUCCAGCCAUAAGGUUCUUAUUCUAUAUAUACAUGAAAUGAUAUCACUUGAAGGUAGACUGUGAUAAGUUAAAUACGUAUAUUUUUUAAAUCUUCAAACAACCACUAAAAUAAAAGAACAAAGAGUUACAACUAAUAAAGGAGAUAGAAUGGAAUCAUAAAAUAUGUUUUCAAAAGAUGGUGUAAAAGGAAUAAAAAGGAAACAAAAAACAGAUGGAGAAAAAUAGAAAAAAAAAACAACAUGGUAGAUUAAAACUCAACCAUAUCAAUAAUCACAUUAAAUAAAAAAUCUAAAUACAAAAAUUUCAAUUAAAAGGCAGAGAUUGUCAGACUGGAUUAAAAAAGAUGAGACCUACCUAUAUACUGCCUUCAAGAAACCCAUUUUAAUAUAAAGGCACAAUUAGGUUAAAAGUAAAAGGGUGAGAAAAGAUCAUGCUACCACUAAUCAAAAGUAAACUAGAGAGAUUUCAAAGCAGCAAGCAUUAUCAUGUUAAAGGUGAAUUCAUCAAGAAGGCAUAGUGCUAAACAUUUAUGCACAUAACAGAGUUUCUAAAUAUAUGGAGCAAAACUGAUAGAAUUGCAAGGAAAAACAGACAAGUCUACAAUUAAUCAGAUUUCAACAAACUUUAUCAAUUAUUGGUGGAAUGAGUAAGUAGAAAAAUCUAUAGUUCUUAUUUCUUCUAGAUUUUUCUACCUAUUCCACCAAUAAUUGAUAAAGGGGUGUUGAAAUCUGACUAAUUUUAGAUAACAGAAGAACAACAUUAUUAACCAACUAUGUCUAACUGCAUUUAUAGAACACCCCACCCAACAACAGCAAACUAUACAUUAAUCUCAAGUGCAGACAGAACUUCUAUGAGUAUAAAAUAUAUUUUGGGCCAAAAAACAGACAGGUCUCAACAAUUUUACAAGGAUUCAAGCCAUAUAAAGUAUGUGCUGUGAUUGCAAUGAGUAAUAUUAGAAAUUGAUAACAAAAAUAUCUGGAAAAAUCUUGAACUAUUGAGGAUACUAACAGAUUGCUAAAUAACCCAUAGGUCAAGGAAUAAAUCAAAAGGGAAGCUUGAAAGUAUUUUGAACUGAAUGAAAAUGGAAAUAAAACAACAAAAUUUUUGAAAUUCAGUCAAAGCAGUAUUUACUAGGAAAUUUGUACUAUAAAUACCAAUAUUAUUAUAGAAAAGGGGAAGAUCUCACAUCAGUGAUCUUGGUUUCUAUUAAAAAACUAAAAGACAUACAAAUGGUCAACAGACAUAUGAAAAGACACUCAAUAUCACUAAUCAUCAGGGAAAUGCAGAUUAAAACCACAAUGAGAUGUCACCUUCUACUUGUCAAGGUGUCUAUUAUAAAAAAAAAAAAGAUUACUGUUCACAACGAUGUUGAGAAAUUGGAACACUUGUACACUGUUAGUGGGAAUGUAAAAUGGUGCAGCUGCUUGGAAAACAGUAUGGAGGUUCCUCAAAAAGUUAAAAUAGAACUACCAUACAAUCCAGCAAUCUCACUUCUGGAUAUUUAUCCAAAAGAAUUGAAAUCAGGAUCUCAAGGAGAUUUGAACACAUGUUCACUGCAACAUUAUUCCUAAUAGUCAAGAUAUGGAAACAACCUAAAUGAGUGAAUAAAGAAAGGUGGUAUAUACAUACAAUGGAAUAUUAUUCAGCCUUAAAAAAGAAGAAAAUCCUGCCAUCUAUGACAUGAGAAAACCUUGAUGACAUUAUACUAUGUGAAAUAAGCCAGUCACAGAAAGACAAAUACUGCAUGAUUCCACUUAUAUAUGGUAUCUAAAUAGUCAAAUUCAGAAGCAGAGUGGCUGUUGCCAGGGGAUGGGGGAGGGUGAAAUGAAGAGUCGUUUUUCAAUAGUAUAAAGCUUCAGUUAUGCAAGAUAAAUAAGUUCAAGAGAUCUGCUUCACAACAUUGUGCUAUAGUCAACAAUACUGUAUUAUACACUUAAAAUUUUGUUCAAAGGGUAUGUCUCAUGUUAAGUGUUCUUAUCACAUUUUUCAAACUAGAAAAAAGUGAAAAAAUUAAACCCCAAAAUAAGUAGAAUAAGGAAAUAAUAAAGAUCAGAACAGAAAUCAAUGAAAUAGAAAACAAAAACAGUAGUGUCAUUAAAACAAAACUUUGGUUCUUCAAUGCAGUCAGUAUAAUUAGUAAACCUCUAUCCAGACUGAUUAGGGAAAAAAAGAGAAAAGAUAAAUAUUACCAAUAUCAGAAAUGAGAGAGAUAAUAUAACUGCAGGAAAUACUAUGGACAACUUCAUGCCUGUGAAUUUGACAUAAGGUAGUUUUAGCCCUCCAACUUUUUUUUUUUUUUUUUUGAGUAAUUAUGGCUAUUGUGGAUUCUCUGCAUCUCUUUAUUAAGGAGUCCGGCUCCUGGCCAAAGUCUACAUGUGAUUUUUCAGAUCCUACUAUAGGCAAUUACAAAGGCUUUACCUCGCAGGUCUCAAGGGAGGAAGCUGACUACCCCCUCACCAGACUUGGUGCACAGCCAGAGCAUUGCAGUCCCUGAAGGGUCUUGCAGUCACAGACUCAGGCCCAUCUGGCUGACCAUGCUCUUACACAUGCCUGCAUUCCUCACCUAAGUACCUCCAUUUGGAGUCCUCUUUAUUUUUUCUGGGUGGGGGGGAGCCAUCUUUUUUUUCCUUCAACUUUUAAGUUCAGGGGUACAUGUGCAGGAUGUGAUGUUUGUUACAUAGGUAAACGUCUGCCAUGGUGGUUUGCUGCACAGAUCAUCCCAUCACCUAGGUUUUAAGCCCAGCAUUCAUUAGCUGUUCUUCCUGAUGCUCUCCCUCCCUCAUCCCACACCCCCAACAGACCCCAGUGUGUGUUGCUCCCUGCUGUGUGUCCAUGUGUUUUCAUUGUUCAGCUCCCACUUAUUAGAACAUGCGGUGUUUGGUUUUUUGUUCCUUCUUUAGUUUGCUGAGAAUAAUGGCUUCCAACUCCAUUCAUGUCCCUUCAAAGGACAUGAUCUCAUUCCUUUUUAUGGCUGCAUACUUUCCAUGGCGUAUAUGUGCCACAUUUUCUUUAUCCAGUCUAUCAUUGAUGGACAUUUAGUUUCAUUCCGUGUCUUUGCUAUUGUAAAUAGUGCUGCAAUGAACAUAUGCAUGAAUGUAUCUUUAUUACAGAAAGAUAUAUAUUCCUUUGGGUAUAUACCCAGUAAUGGGAUUGCUAGGUCAAAUGUUAUCUCUGUCUCUGGGUCUUUGAGGAAUCACCACACUAUCUUCCACAGUGGUUGAACUAAUUUACACUGCCAUCAACAGUGUAAAAGCAUUCCUAUUUCUCCACAACCUCACCAGCAUCAGUUGCUUUUGACGUUUUAAUAGUCACCAUUCUGACUGGCAUGAGAUAGUAUCUCAUUGUGGUUUUGAUUUGCAUUUCUCUAAUGAUCAGUAAUAUUGAGCUUUAUUUCAUAUGUUUGUUUGCCACAUGUAUGUCUUCUUUUGAGGAGUAUCUGUUCAUGUCCUUUGCCCACUUUUUAAUGGGUUUGUUUAUUUGUUUUCCUGUAAAUUUGUUAUGUUUCUUGUAGAUUCUGGAUAUUAGACCUUUGUCAGAUGGAUAGAUUGCAAAAAUGUUCUCCCAAUCUGUAGGAUGUCUGUUCACUUUAAUAAUAGUUUAUUUUGCUGUGCAGAAGGCUUUUAGUUUAAUUAGAUCCUAUUUGUCAAUUGUUGCUUUUGUUGCAAUUGCUUUUGACAUUUUUGUCAUGAAAUCUUUGCCCAUGCCUACGUCCUGAAUGGUAUUGCCUAGAUUUUCUUCUAGGGUUUUUAUAGUUUUGGGUUUUACAUUUAGGUCUUUAAUCCAUCUUGAGUUAAUUUUUAUAUAGGUAUAAGGAAGGAGUUCAGUUUCAAUUUUCUGCAUAUGGCUAGCCAGUUUUCCCAGCACCAUUUAUUAAAUAGGGAAUCUUUUCCCCAUUCCUCGUUUUUGUCAGGAUUGUCAAAGAUCAGAUGGUUUGUAGGUGUGUGGUCUUAUUUCUGAGUUCUCUGUUCUGUUCCAUUGGUCUAUGUGUCUGUUCUUGUACCAGUACUAUGCAGUUUUGGUUACUGUAGUCUUGUAGCAUAGUUUGAAGUUGGGUAACGUGUUGCCUGGAGGCCUCUUUAUUAGAAGCCUUGCACAGGGGCUUUCUGCAGAGGCCUUCCUCAGGUGCCUCUGCUAAGAUCUCCUUAUCUAGGUAGAAAUAGGGGACACUUGAUGCUUUUCUCCGCAUUAACCCAAUACUCAGUACUUUUUUUCUCCUACCCCUUCCCUUCUCUCACCUCCUGGUCCCCAGGUCCAUAAUACACCAGGAGCCUUUUGGGGGGCAGGGCUCCUUUGGCAUUGAGACCAUUCCCCACAGCUGCACUGAUCCACCUGAUCCUCAACCAGAGCUGUUUUACAGGGAAAAUAAAGGGAGGUGGCACAUUGCUUAUACCAUCAUAGUACAGCAAGUGACUAAAGGCUUGACUCUUAUUUUCAUUUUAGUUUUUUGCCUUAAUCAGCUAUGCUGAUUCCUGGCAGAUCAGCACUCUCUUAGUUCAGUUUUUGACACGUGAUUAUAGAAGCAGUUUGUCAAUCUCCACAAUAAAGUCUAAUCCGUUUAAUAAUACUGAAUCUUCCAAUCCAUGAACAUGGUAUAUCUCUCUAUUUAAAUCUUUUUCCAUUUCACUUAGCAAUGUUGUCAUGGUAUAUCUCUGCAUUUGUUGUCAGCGUACUGGUCUUGAACAUCUCUUGUCAGAAUUUUCCCUGGGUUUCAUAUUUUUGAUGCUAUUAUAAGUGCUGUUGUUUAAUUUCAAUUUUGGAUUGUUAUACUAUAUAGAAAUACAAUUGAUUUUUGUAUAUUGAUCUUAUAACCAGAAACCUUGAUAAACUUACUUAUUAGUUCUAGUAGAUUUUUUUGUAGAUUAUCUAAUAUUUUCUACAUAAACGAUAAUAUUGUCUGCUGAUAAAGGCAGUUUUACUGCUUCCUUUCCCAUAUCAAUAUCUUUUAUUUUUUUCUUGUCUGUUUGCAUUGCUAAAAGUUCCAAGAAAACAUUGAGUAGACAUUGUAAGAGUGAUAUCCCUCACAAGUUCUUAAUCUAAGAAGGAAAGCACUUAUUCUGUCUCCAUUACAUAUGAGCAGCAGGCUUCAGCCUUUUGUAAGGUUAAGGAAUUUCCUUUCUAUUCCAAGUUUGCUGAGAGUUUUUUUAUUAGGAACUAAGGUUGAAUUUUGUAAAAAUGACUUUUCUGUAUCCAUUGAGAAUAACCAUAUAAGUUUUCUCUUUUCGUAUGUUAGUAUUGAGAACUGGUAAAUUGCAUUUUAAUAAUUUAGGGCAGUACUGCUAUGAUUUGAAAGCUUGUACCCUCCAAAACUCAUGUUGAAAUUUAAUUGCCAGGCCAGAUGCAGUGGCUUACACCUGUAAUCCCAGCACUUUGGAAGGCUAAGGCUGGAGAAACACUUGAGCCCAGGAGUUUGAGACCAGCCUGGGCAACAUAGUGAGACCCUGUCUCUACAAAACAUUUUUAAAAAUUAACCAGAUAUAGUGGCACACGCCUAUGGUCCUAGCUACUCAGGAGGCUAAAGUGGGAAGAUCACUUGAGUCCAGGAAGUGGAGACUGCAGUGAGCUGUGAUUGUGUUACCACACUCCAGCCUGGGCAACAGAGCGAGACUCUGUCUCAAAAGAAAGAAACAAAGAAAUUUAAUUGCCAAUAUAAUGGUAUGGGAGGUGGGGACUUUAAGAGAUGAUUAGGCUAUGAGGGCUCCAGCUUCAUGUGUGCCUUACUAAAAGGGCUUUCAGGGUGGCUACUCUUUGCCCUUCCACCAUCAGAUGACACAGCAAAAAGGUCCUCUCCAAAUGCCAACACCUUGAUAUUGGAUUUCCCAGCCUCCAGAACUAUAACUUUCUGUUCUUUAUAAAUUACCCAGUCUCAGGUAUCCUGUUAUAGCAGAACAACAUGGACUAAGACAAAUUCAUACAGGAAAGCCAGGAUUUGCUUGAUCCUGACAAAUAAAGGGCUUUCCCUUUAUUUGUCAGUUUUCAAGGCAAUGAGUUGGUAUCUUAUUAUUCUUCAAAGGUGGUCAGUUUUUUUUUAAUAUCAUUGUGAACUUAUGUAGUUAAAUGUGAUAUGUUAUGGGUUUCAUUCCCAUGCAGUUUUUAUCCUUAUUGAGGUUCAAGGUUUCCCAUCUUCAGUCAGUGACAGCCACUUCAAGGAGUAAAGUUUUUUUUGUCAUGACUCUAGUCAUCAUUGAAAGCUUACUUGCCAUCAGGUAUGACAAGAUGUUCCAAGUUUAUCUUAUACACUUUCUACCCAAAACCUGAAAUUAGUCAAUUCUCAAAGAAGUCAUGGUAUCUUUUAGUAGUAAACAAUAUUUUAAGGCCACAAUCUGAUCGUUAGGUCUAAUCAUUGCUAGUAGGUUGGUCAUUGUUAUUAGGCCUUUUCAGGUGCUCAGAGGUAAUUUCAAAUUCAAAUACAGACUUUGUAUUUUUACUUAAGCUUUCAUAUAUAUAUAAUUUUUUUCUGCAUACUAAUAAUAGUUUUCAAGAAUACAAGAGGUGAUGGGAUAAAAUAUCUAUAAUCAUUCAUUUGCUUUAUCCAACAAUUCACAUAUAAUAGUCUUAAGAUAACAAAACUCACCCCAACAGAAGAGUUUGUAAAUGUCUGUAUUAUAUGUUUUUCCCAAUUUUGCACUAUGUCUACAUUGUCAGAGCAUAUAGCCAGAGCAGACUAUAUCCUAGUCCAUUUAACCCCUUAGUCUUAGUUCUACAAGUAAUUAUAUUGAAUACCCACCAUCUGUACUUGUGUCAAUGUCAUCCUAGUCAUUUUGGUUGUCUGAAGCUUGUUUUCUAUUUAGAUACCUCAAGAAGGGCUCAUGGGAGAAAAUAAUCUCUUAAGUUUAUAUGUUGAUAAGAGCUUGUAUGUACUCUUUUUCUUGAAAGUAAGUUUAGUUACAUGUAAAAUGCUUGGCUCACAUUUUCUUUCCUUGUGUAUCUUAAAUAUGUUAUUCUGUUUUUCUCUGGCUUAAAAUUAGAUGGUCAUCUAAUUUUCUUUCCCUUAUAAAUCACUUGCAGUUUUUGCCUAGAUUUUGUAAGGAUUUUUUUCCUUUUCAUUAAGCCAAGUAAUAACUAAUAUAUAUCUUUCUGUUUGUUGUUUUGUGUUCACAUUUUGAAGUUCAUCGUGUGCUCUUUCAAUAUGUAAUUUCAAAUUUUUUUAUUUCAAGAACGUUUUGUUGAAUUAUAGCUUGUAGAACUAUAGUUGCAGAAUUUAUUUUAUUUCCUUGUUUUGGUGUUAUUCUACAGGAAACGCUGGGACAGGCCACUUUAUAUCUUUACAUAGCUCUAUUAGGCAUCUCUCUCUCUUCUUUUUUUUUUUUUUUUUUUACGGAGUUUCACUCUUGUUGCCCAGGAUGGAGUGCAAUGGUGCAAUCUUGGCUCACUGCAACCUCUGCCUCCUGGGUUCAAGCGAUUCUCCUGUCUCAGCCUCCUGAGUAGCUGGGAUUACAGGUGCCCGCCACCAUGCCCCACUAAUGUUUGUAUUUUUAGUGGAGAUGGGGUUUCAUCAUAUUGGUCAGGUUGGUCUCGAACUCCUGACCUGAGGUGAUCUGCCCACCUUGGCCUCCCAAAGUGCUGAGGUUACAGGCGUGAGCCACCGCACUCUGCCUGUUUGUUUGGUUUUGUUUGUUUAGACAGAGUCUCUCUCUGUCCCUCAGGCUGGAGUGCAGUGGCAUAAUCUUGGCUCACUGUAACCUCCGCCUCCUGGAUUCAAGCGAUUCUUAUGCUUCAGCCUCCAGAGUAGCUGGGAUUGCUGGGAUUACAGGCGUGUACCACCACAACUGGCUAAUUUUUGUACUUUUUAAUAGAGACAGGGUUUUGCAGUGUUGGCCAGGCUGGUCUCUAACUCCUGGCGUCAAGUGAUCCACCAGGCUCGGCCUCCCAAAGUGCUGGGAUUACAGGUCUGAACCAAUGCUCUUGGCCUCUUACCCCCAUUUUUAAAUUGAGGACACUGAUAAUCAGAAAGAUUUUUUGUCUGGACAUGGUGGCUCAUGCCUGUAAUCCCAGAACUUUGGAAGGCCAAGGUGUGAGGAUUGUUGGAGCCCAGGAGUUCAAGACUAGCCUGGGAAACAUAAUAAGACGCUGUCUCUAUAAAAAAUUAACAGGGCGUGGCGGUACAUGCCAGUGGUCCAAGCUACUGAGGAGGCUGAGGUGGGGGGAUUGCUUGAACCCAUGAGGCUGAGGAUGCAGUUGCGUCUCAACCUGGGCAACAGAGCAGGGCCCUGUAAGAAAAAAAGAAGGGGAGGGGAAGGGAGGGGAGGGAGACAUGGUGGGGUGUGGAGGGAGAGAGAGAGAAGGAAAGGAAAGAGGCCGGACACAGUGGCUCAUGCCUGUAAUCCCAGCACUUUGGGAGGCCGAGGUGGAUGGAUCACAAGGUCAGGAGUUUGAGACCAUCCUGGCUAACACAGUGAAACCCCGUCUCUACUAAAAAAUAGAAAAAAUUAGCCAGGCAUGGUGGCGGGAGCCUGUAGUCCCAGCUACUCGGGAGGCUGAGGCAGGAGAAUGGCGUGAAUCUGGGAGGCAGAGCUUGCAGUGAGCCAAGAUCGUGCCACUGCACUCCAGCCUGGACAACAGAGUGAGACUCCAUCUCAAAAAAAAGAAAGAAAGGAAAGAGAAGGGGAGGGAAGGGGGAAGGGAAGGGGGAAGGGAAGAAGGAAAGGAAAAAGGAAAGGAAAGAUUAUAUAAUUUAUUCAAGAUUCCACAGGUGGUAGGGGAAGAACCAGAACCGAGGUCUGCUCAACUAUGAAUCUUUAGGUCUUUUUUCCAUAUUACCCUGCCGCCUGGGUCCUUUCUGAGUUUAUUUCACUGCUUUUCCUUCAGAUGGUCACUCUCAUAUGCCUUACAGUCUUGCUUCUCAAAAUCUAGCCCUUGGACCAGCAUCAUUGGCAUUACCAGAAACCCCAUUAGAACUGAAGAAUCUCAGUUGCUCCAGUCCUACUGAAUGAGAUUCUGAAUUUUUAUAAGAUCUCCAGGUUAUUUCAAUCUCCAUUACAAUUUAAGAAACACUGGUCUAGAGAAAAAUCUAAAGGUAUUUUAGGCUAUAAUUCUCAAAUUUUAUGGCAUACUGAUAUCCCUUGGAAUAAUUUUUAAUUCCUGAUACCCAAGCCACAACCCCUAUCAAUUAAAUCAAAUCCGAAUCUCUGGGGAUGGAGCAUAGCAUAUGUUAAAACUCCCCAAGUGAUCCAAAGUAUAGCCAUGUUUGGGAGCUAGGUCUUAAAACAGUACGGUUAGUCCUUCAUGUUCCUAAGAAUACUGGGAGCUUCUCAUCUUCACAUGCUGAUUCAGUAGAUCUAGUUUGGGGCCUGAGAUUCUUCAUUUCUAACAAGUUCUCGAAUGGUAGUUUCUGCUGCUCCUAAAAGUUUCUGGAGUUAAAUGAAACUACCGGAAGCCUCCUUCAACAAUGUCAAUAAAUACAAAUAGCAUCUAAUCAAGGAAAGCUUCUCUAAGGCACAGUCCUGGCCUUCUAACUCCACCUGAGAGCAAAAAAGGAACUCCGGGAGAAGGGGUGGAGGUGCUGCAGGCUCUUACAAGGCUCCCCAGGUUACUUCACACCUGGUGCUGGGCAGACCCACCUAGGUGUGCCAGACAGUUGGGAUCAGGCUGCUGCUUGCAGCCCCAAGGCAAGAGUUCUUGCAAACACAUACUUUUUUCUCAUUGCCUGUGCCUUCACCAUCUGUCUACCUUUCUUUCCCCGGGUCCUUCUCUUUCUUUUCCCUGGGUUCCUGUCUCCAGGCUUCCCAGCAGCAACUGGGGCACUUGCUUGGUCUGCUGUGUGCUUACUUGGGUUUUGGACUAAGUCAAAACUGCAAAAUCUCAGGCCAUAACACAGAGGAGCUUAAGCCAGCAGAAUAAGAAGGGCCCUGGGGAUAAGUGCCUAAGAGAUAUGGCAUGAUGGAACUUGAUUUGUUUUUCAUCACAGAUCCAUUCAUGACACACAAUAUGUGGUCUGAUAGCUUGGCAGGACUGAACAUGAACUAUUCUCACUCCAGCUUAUAAUUUACAUAUUUUUCCCUUGGCAAGACCCAAGCAACUGUCAUCAGCAGGUUGUGUGGGACUUGUCGAGUGUGGUGGCAGGUCCACACUGGGUUUGGCUGUAUCCCAAAGUUUUGACUCAUCCCCUGGCCUGUGGCAGAGUGGGAAAUCUUGCUGGUGUAGCUAGGUAAGGGCUUCCCUCUGGACAUGCCAGGGCUAAGGAAUCCUCAACAGCCUUAGCUGGCCAUUUCUGAGAUGGCGAAACACUUACCCAGAAUUCCACUGGGCCAAAAGUUAACCUCUACAGAAGAGCAAACUAAUUCACUUUGUCUAGCUUUGACAGGAAAGAACAGAAAGAGAAGGGAAAAACUGAGACCUUAGGAUAUUCAACAUAAAGGCAGCCAAGUAGAGGAUUCUUAAAAUCUGUUUCUAAAUUAGGAUCGUCCCACAUUUAUUUGGGGCUUAUUCAAUGACAUUUUCCUAAGCACUAGUUAACAAGGCAUCUUACCACAUGCCAGAUAAAACUGGUCGUCAGAACAUAACCUUUUUACCCUGCGGAAUAACACUUUUCACCCAGAUUCUUGAGACUCUUUAAUUUCCUUACAGUUUCCAACCAUUUAGGGAAAGCUACUCUGGGAACUGAAAGAGGCAAUGUGGCUCAGAGAUUGAGCAGGUUUCUCCUCCCUACUAACAGCAUCAGAUGAUAAUUAAUCCUCAUUGCUUCCCAAAGGACAGCCAAGGAAAAACUUCAUUUCCCAGAUGAGGUGGCUCAACAAACUGCCCAAGACCAGUGUCCCAGCUAGCAAGUAGCCAGCUACCCACAGUGCAAUCUGUUUCAGCCCUUGCGACAGGCUUCUGGUCUCCUGCAACUGGUCUGAGUAGACUUAAGUUCCUGUCUUCACUUGCCCCAGCCUUGUAACACCUCCCUUGAGAGUACUAUUUCUAUGUAGGCUUUUUAGGGCUGAAAUGAGAGAAGACAUUUCCUGGCCCUGAAGUGAGUCAUUGGCCUAGUAAAACUUCACCUAAGGGGUAGCUGACUAGCCAAUUGAGGACAAUGGAGGAAGCCUGGCACCUCUGGAGGGAAGUUCCUGAUGUGUGGAGAUUUGCCAUCUAUGAGAUGGCAAGGCUCAGUGGCUACACAGGCCCUCCGGCAGCCUUAAGCAUCAAAUAAAUUACAUAAAUACUUAGGGCCUCUAGGAUCCAGGUCUUGAACUAUGUGCCUUGGAAAGUCCAGAGUUGAGGUUCUUGCUCUCACUUACUAUUUUCAGUGUGGUCCCUGGGAAGCAGCAUCAGCAUCACCUGGGAACCUGUUAGAAAUAAUUGUCAGACACCAUCCCAGACCUACUGAAGCAGAAUCUCUGGUGCUGGGAUACAGAAUUCUGUGUCUCACCAGCUCUCUAGGUGAUUCUGGUGCAAGUCCAAGUUUGAGGGCCAUUGCUUUUAUCAAACCAUUAUUUGUUGAGCCCCUUUAAAUCAGGUUGAAUUGGGGUUCUCUAGAGGUAAGGGGGGCUGGGUAACAAAGUGAGGCUCUCAAGUCAGGUUACCUGGUUCUCUGCAACUUCCUAGUGAUGUGACCUUGGAUGUCAGUUCUCUCACCUCUAAGACGGGGGAAAUAAAACCUCUUCCACUGGGAGGUCGUGUGUGUCUGGCCUAUGUAGUUUCUCUCUUUUCGCCACCCCAAUCUAUCUAAAAGGAAAUUUACAGAACAGGACCUACUGUUCCUAGGGUAAAAAUCUGCAAGAUUGGCCACAUGCAGGAUGCUGAUGUUAAUACCUUUUUAAUUAACAUUUUAAGUGGUUCUAGGUUUAAAUGAGUUUGGUUCAGCCUUUAAGUCCUGAGGAUAAUGGUAUUUUUAGCAGAAAUAUGUUUUCCCAUGCUGACUUACAUCCAAAUAGUUUCAAAGAUUAGAUUACAACUUUACUAAAAAGUGAAACUUAACUUCUACUUAGGUUUCCUUUGUUUUCUUUUUAAGAGAGAGGAAGAAUAGAUCAUCAAGGUUGAUUUUUUUUUUUUUGUAUUUGUAAUUCAGGAUUAGGCAAAUGUUUAAAAACUAAUAAAAAUGAUUUGAGCAUUUUAAUUAUUUUCUCUUAAGGCAGAACAUUUUUUACUCACUUCCAUGUUACAUUGAUAUCUGCUUAUAAAAAAAAUAUACCUUUAUAGCAGAAAUUUUAGAAAAUACAGAGAAACAUGAAGAGGAAAGCAAGCACACAUAUCCUACUGCCCAGAUAAUCACUGUGAAUGUUUUGGUGUAUUUCUUUGUGGCUUUUCUUCCUGCUCACAUAUGUAAUGGUUGAUAUGUAUCUAUAUUUAAGAUGUUUUAAUGAAAUCACACUCUACUGUUUUUAUCACCCCGCAGAGGCAGGAUGGACUCCCCCCAACCCAAAAUUUGGUUCAGAUGUCAAAACUGAUGAUGUCACACAUACAUCUUAAGAGGGUAUGGAAAGGUUUCUUGCAUAAUGAGGCUUUCUAGAAAGAGCAGAGUAGGAUUCCAAGGAAGUCCAUAAAUGGCUUGAGAAAGCAGGGAAAGGAGACUAGCUUGGGGUUUUUAUCGCAGUUAGAGUGUGGGGCUGAGUGGAGGGCUCCUGCACACAGACUGAACACUGCAUGGUUUGAACUUCUCACUGGUGCACUGGGGUUUUCUUAUCAGCUUGUCCAGAUGUGGAACCAAAUGGAAAGGGCAGUCACGGGGCUUGAAAGUUGUCAGCAGCCAAACGUCAAAACUGGAAUUAGACUCUUAAUUAUAUGUAGUUUUGCAUCUUUCUCUUAAAUUUAGCAUUGUACUUUCUGUGCUUGAGAGACAAAGCUUAAACCAAAAGCUUUACUGUCAAACUAGAUUGCUUUUGACAUUGGCAUCUUGUGGCUAUGCCAGUGUUUCUAGUGACUAAUCAUUUAUUUAUUCAUAUUCUAGAAGAAAAGGAUGUAUGGAUUAAAAACAUUGACUUUUUUUUUAAUAAAACAAACAAAAGAGUGUGGAAUAAGAAAACAGAGCAUACUAUAUAUCCCAAAAGCAAUAUAUCCAAAAGUUUUCCUUGAGAAAAAAAAAAACCAGCUUGCUCAGGAAAGAGAAUACAGAUUGUUUUCUCUUUGUAAGUAUAUUUGAAUUUUUUAUGAUCAAACAUGACUCUCAAUUUACUGCAAAAUACGACUGCAGAAUGUGUGAGUCAUGUAUCUAAUCUGCUUUGAAAUAUUGUUCCUAAAGAACAUAGGUACUUAUAAUCCUGUACAAUCCACAGUUGGAGUCCACACCUUGUGACAACAAAAGACAACUCAAAUCAGCUUCAAGCAUGGAUCAUAACUAACCGCGGGGCUAUUUUUUCCAUCUGUAAUAAAGAAUGUUCCAACAUCUUUAAUAAUCGAAGAUAAUCCUCUGUCGUCAUCUUGAGCAUCUAGGUUAUAAAAAUACAUACAGUGCUUUGAAGAAAGGUUCUGGUCCACUGGUGUCACGUGAAGGUCAGAUUAUGGAAAACUGGCAUUGUUACAACAAGAAAUGAAGGCUGCUCAUGUUUUCUCUGGGUAUUUGGAAUAAAGUAUCUCAUAGUUUCCAACUUGAAGAUUUAA